rnacentral:rRNA from 1 species
UACGAAGGGGGCUAGCGUUGCUCGGAAUGACUGGGCGUAAAGGGCGCGUAGGCGGCUUAUACAGUCAGGCGUGAAAUUCCUGGGCUCAACCUGGGGACUGCGUCUGAUACGUAUAGGCUUGAGUAUGGAAGAGGGUCGUGGAAUUUCCAGUGUAGAGGUGAAAUUCGUAGAUAUUGGAAAGAACACCGGUGGCGAAGGCGGCGACCUGGUCCAUUACUGACGCUGAGGCGCGAAAGCGUGGGGAGCAAACAGG